CUGGAAGUAGGGGAUUCUGAAGGGGCGCAUCCUGAUGACCUCAUCAACAUUUUAAAAGGUCAAAUAAAAGAUGGCCAUAAGUUUAAUCCUAGGAGCCCCUGUUCAGACACAGAGCCAGACUUCAUCAGCAACCCCAGUCUGAGGGAUGGAACUCAUUGGCUUCUAAGUGUCAUUCCAGCAGACCAGUGUGCAGCAGGAUGGUUCCUUUGAGAAGAUGAGGCCCAUCAGAAAACAGGCCAGUGAGAUGGGAAUCCUUCAGCUUACAAUGCUACCAAAAGUGGAUCAGGCCCAGAGGUCAAGAAGGACAUCAGAGUGAUCUACAGGAGCAAGAAGAUCAAGAAGAAUAUGCAGGAGUGCAGUAACAGACUGGGAGUUCCCUUUAAUGA